AAAGAAACACCCAAGUUACAGCAAAGUUGAAGCUAUAGAAAUGGGCAAGAGAUACAAAACUACAAACUGCUCUGAGCCCUACAGAGAAUUACAGACCUCAGGGUAGAGUAGGAUGAAAACCCCUGUGGUUGGCACAGCAGCGAAGUGCAGCACUGGUGCUUACAGAUGCCUCCUGGCACAAGCCAUCAGCCCCCCCCAGGAAUUCAUGCAGGGGACUUCCAGCCUCACCUCCCUAGGAGGUGCCCAUGGCCCAGUACUGUUCCUAGAGCCACGGACUGCCUUUGAUACCCCAUGGAUAAGCACUGACGAAAACAAGUUGUUGCCUGCCACAGAAGAGCUGCCUUGGUCAUUGGUUCCAUAAGAGGCAUAAUAGCAAAACACUGCAAAGUCUUCAGUCUGAGGACAUUUUACUGCAGCCAGAAGUUCUGCAGUGAAUAGACCACAAAGGAAGCGUGCCAAGAAAUGGGUGAGGAGUGCUUUUAAGAGAGGCUCUCACUGCUGUAAGAAAUGCCCAUGAGUUAGGCUGUGCCUGCCAGAAGGGGGAGAAGAGUGGAGGAUGUUUCAACAUGUGCUUCCAGAUUCCAAAAGUCAAUGGAAUACUGCAUUUGCCUCUCAAAGGGACCUGCAGUACUAUCGCAAAGAGCAAUACCUGGAUACAUGAGGAGCCCGAUGAGCCUGGAGGAGUCGUUCCUUUGCCCGCUGUUUGUCUUCCUCCAUCACUUUCCUUUUGUUACAGGCAUGCACAU